UUUUUCUUGCAAAACUAUUUCAGAUGGAUUUGGAGUUUCGAACAAAUAUUUUCCCAUUUUAUCUACAUAUACGUUUUUGGGGAAGAUUUGUGUCGAAAAAUCCUUUUUCAAUUUCGAUAUUGUAUGUUUAGUCCCUACAAAAUCAAUCAGACAAAAUUGUCUUCUUUAGGACAAUGACCAAAUUUUUGAUCAACUAUUCACAUUUUGCACUAAUUACUUACCUAAACAAAAAUAUUAUUUUGCACUACCCUCAUAAAUUGCACACAUUAAUCCCUUAAAUCUCUACUAAUUCAAUAUUACACGACAUAAUAUUCCCUAAAAAUUCGAACAACCAAAUAACUAACCAUAUCUGAUUUAAUCCCAUACGACGAGAUUUGAGAUCCUAACAUAUGGAAAUCAAAU
rnacentral:sRNA from 1 species